rnacentral:rRNA from 1 species
CCGUAGGUGAACCUGCGGAAGAUCA